rnacentral:pre_miRNA from 1 species
UGUAAACAUCCCCGACUGGAAGCUGUAAGACGUGGCUCAGCUUUCAGUCAGAUGUUUGCU